rnacentral:rRNA from 1 species
CCUACGGGAGGCAGCAGUGGGGAAUAUUGCGCAAUGGGCGAAAGCCUGACGCAGCCACGCCGCGUGUGUGAUGAAGGCCCUCGGGUCGUAAAGCACUGUCGGGAGGAAAGAAGUUCUGACGGUACCUCCCAAGAAAGCACCGGCUAACUCCGUGCCAGCAGCCGCGGUAAUACGGAGGGUGCAAGCGUUGCUCGGAAUCACUGGGCGUAAAGCGUACGCAGGCGUCUCGUUAAGUCGGGUGUGAAAGCCCGGGGCUCAACCCCGGAACUGCAUUCGAAACUGGCGGGCUUGAAUACGGGAGAGGGAAGUGGAAUUCCUGGUGUAGAGGUGAAAUUCGUAGAUAUCAGGAGGAACACCUGUGGCGAAAGCGGCUUCCUGGCCCGAUAUUGACGCUCAUGUACGAAAGCGUGGGGAGCAAACAGGAUUAGAUACCCUGGUAGUCCACGCCGUAAACGAUGAGUGCUAGCUGCUGGGGAUGUCUACUGCCUCAGUGGCGCAGCUAACGCAUUAAGCACUCCGCCUGGGGAGUACGGCCGCAAGGCUAAAACUCAAAGGAAUUGACGG